rnacentral:rRNA from 1 species
UACAGAGGUCUCAAGCGUUGUUCGGAUUCAUUGGGCGUAAAGGGUGCGUAGGUGGCGCUGUAAGUCGGGUGUGAAAUUUCGGAGCUUAACUCCGAAACUGCAUUCGAUACUGCGGUGCUUGAGGACUGGAGAGGAGACUGGAAUUCAUGGUGUAGCAGUGAAAUGCGUAGAGAUCAUGAGGAAGACCAGUGGCGGAGGCGGGUCUCUGGACAGUUCCUGACACUGAGGCACGAAGGCCAGGGGAGCAAACGGG